rnacentral:rRNA from 1 species
AACGAACGCUGGCGGCAUGCCUAACACAUGCAAGUCGAACGAGACCUUCGGGUCUAGUGGCGCACGGGUGCGUAACGCGUGGGAACCUGCCCUUAGGUUCGGAAUAACUCCCCGAAAGGGGUGCUAAUACCGGAUAAUGUCUUCGGACCAAAGAUUUAUCGCCUUUGGAUGGGCCCGCGUUGGAUUAGCUAGUUGGUAGGGUAAAAGCCUACCAAGGCGACGAUCCAUAGCUGGUCUGAGAGGCUGAUCAGCCACACUGGGACUGAGACACGGCCCAGACUCCUACGGGAGGCAGCAGUGGGGAAUAUUGGACAAUGGGCGAAAGCCUGAACCAGCAAGGCCGCGUGAGUGAUGAAGGCCUUAGGGUUGUAAAGCUCUUUUACCCGGGAUGAUAAUGACAGUACCGGGAGAAUAAGCUCCGGCUAACUCCGUG